GAACAAUAAUACGCGAACGCUCUUGGCCGAUCAGCUGAUAAGAUAAACAAACAACAUCCCUGCCGCCAGUGCAUUAAAUUUGCUUCGUGCGUCAGCUGAUUGAGACCGAGAUAAAUCCCCAUGUCCAGUAAUGGAAUAAAUCUGGCCAGUGGCCUGGUCAUAAGGUUCUUAAUCACUUUGGAAAAGUGGGAUUCCUGGGUAUUACAAAGCCCAUAGAUUUGGCAGCGAUGAACUGAGAAGAGAAUUCCUCGCACCUUGUAUCGCUGGUGAUGUUGUCUCGUGUCUUGGAGUAAGUGAACAAGGGCAGGUUCUGAUGCUGCAAAUAUCCAGACAACAGCUUGUCGCCUUGAGGAUGACCGAAUCGGGUCAAACUUGCCAGAAAGAUAGACAAGUUGGGAAUGUGAUGCUCUGACACAGGCCACAUAUUUCUUGAUGAUAUCCAAGUCCCUGCCAAGAAUAUCAUUGGAGAAGAAGGAAUGGGGUUUAUUUAUCAAAUGAUGCAGAUCUCUACACAGCAGGACGGGAUGUAACAAAGCUCGCAUCCAUGUGCAAGCGGAAGUCAGGUCGUCUGGCCCUUGAAGUAAUUGAUUCUUGCCAGCAAGUUUGGGGUGGAAUGAGCUUCAUGAAUGAGGUACUGGUGAGCCAGCUAUAUAGAGACUUGCAUUUGUAUUGGAGGGGAUUAUGUUGACAGUUAUCAGUAAAUAUAUGGGAAUUCUUCCACAGCAGUCUAAAACAAACUGAACAAAGAGUGUAAGGCUGAAUGUAAAUAUCUAUAUUCUGUCAAUAGAUUUGUAUACAUAUUUUUAUGAACAUUAAAAAUUACAAGUUUUUC
rnacentral:lncRNA from 1 species